UCCUGAUUGCUUCUGUAGAGGAGCAGGAUAGUGUGUGUCAGGAACCUCCUUGCCCUUUCCUCUGCUUGCUUACGUUCCAUACUAGCACAGCAUUCUAGGCUUUGGCCUGCCUACAUUCUGACCCUGACUUUGCUUUGGGUAGAGGAGGUAUUAAGGAGCCACUGGCUCAGGGGGUCAUGACUCAGGAUCUAUCUCCAUUUCUGUUGCUGGCAUCCAGUAUCUUUACUCACUUAGACCUCUUACCUACUUCUUUUUUGACCAGAUUUGUUAGUCUAGACUCAGGAACCCAUCUCAUCCAGUCCCUUUGCCUAUCCUUGUCAUCUGUUUUCCUAAACCUGGCUGACUGAUUCCUGAUGCCUGACCUCUUGGAUAAUAGACUUCUGCCUACCUAGACCUAUUGUGUCUAGUUCUUUUUUUUCUCUCCUGCCUUUGCUGAACUGCCUGGAGUCUAGAGCUUGCUGGCUCCUCCUUGCCUUUUCUGGCUUCUUUGAAAACGAUUACUGGCCUGCCUGACUUUAUAGCAUUUGCCAGCUCAUUUCCUGUACAGCCACACUCCCUGUCUUGGCCUGUCCUGUCCUGCAGCAAGAAGGGUCAGUAUGAAUGGCAGAGAGAUGAAAAGGUAUGGGUCUAACUCUGAUAUCCCUUCCAACUCUGAGAUCAAGUGGCCAUGGCUUAUCUGGAUGUGAAUGGACAGCAGGCUGCUCUCCUUGGUUUAACUGUGAGGUGGAUUAGCAGCUGAAGUUACAGGAAAUUCAUGAAAUGGCUGCAGUGGGAUGAGAUAGAAUCCUUGGACUAGAAGAUAACCCUAAAAGGUCCUUUCAAAGUAAGGAAAUGAUUUCC